rnacentral:rRNA from 1 species
UACGGAGGGUGCAAGCGUCAUCCGGAUUCACUGGGUUUAAAGGGAGCGUAGGUGGAUUGGUAAGUCCGUGGUGAAAUCUCUGAGCUUAACUCAGAAACUGCCGUGGAUACUAUCAAUCUUGAAUACCGUGGAGGUCAGCGGAAUAUGUCAUGUAGCGGUGAAAUGCUUAGAUAUGACAUAGAACACCAAUUGCGAAGGCAGCUGGCUACACGAAUAUUGACACUGAGGCUCGAAAGCGUGGGGAUCAAACAGG